CUUCCAGGAUUUAUCCCCUACAGGGUUCUUCUGCUCACUGGGUCAGAAGCAUCCGAUUUCCUGUCAUCGGUUGCGGUUCAGCCAUGUUAAUACUGAAAGUAUAAGAAUAUCAUAAUCCCAGAGUGAUAUAAAGACCUUUCCAAGGAAGAUGAGAUACCCGGAGGCUGUGAAGGAGAAGUCUGAAGGAUUUGAACGCGUUCAAAUGAAAACCUUUGGUUCAGCAAAACACCAGAAACAAAUUCAAAAGAUAAAAUACACUCCGGAGAAGCCCAUUCUCUCAACGCAUCUGACAGUUCACAAAGAGCAACUGCAGUCCAACUUAAAAAAUAAAGAAAAUGGUAGGAAAAUGGGCAACAUGCACUGAGGCAAUAUAUAAGAAGAAGGAAUGCGCAAUUAAUCAACAAAAGCCUGCUCUUUCCUAACGAGUGAAGAUACAAGCUUAGUAAAUAUUAAAAUUUAUUGAAGAUAAAAAUGGACACUUCCGGCCAUAUAUAAAAGCAUUGUUGGUAAGAGAGUGGGGUAAUUGACAUGCUCCUGGGAAAUAAUACGCAUUCAGACAACCUCUAAUGAGUGAAUCCACUGGGGGUAUCCACUAGGAAUAGAAAACGACCACCAAUGCCCAAGUUUGUGGUCCAGAAUUUGAGCAGCGAUCUAACAAAGUAGAGUCUCCCCCUGUGUCAUGGGCCCCACUUCUUAAGCAAAGAAGAAUGCCUCAUUUUGGUAACUCACCCAAAUAAACAGAAAUUUUUUUUGAUAAUCUUAUCGCAUUUAUUUGGUUAAGUCUGAGGCAGAAUAUUUUUCUCCUUUGUAUCUUUGUUUUGUUUUGUUUUAAUCCUUGAAGUUUAUUACCAAACUACAUCUUGGUGUUUCUUCAGGAUGUGAACAGGCCUUUCUAUUCUCAAUUAAGUGUUUCUUUCCUUUAAUUCAGGAAUCUUCUAAUCAUGUAUUUUAAUUUCUUUUUCUGUCAUCCCUCCCCACGCCAUAAGCUACCAGUCACUAUACAUGUUGGAGCUCUCUUUAUUGUGCCAUAGAUCUCUGAUGUCAUGUCUUUAGUCAUUAUUUUGUGUCAGAAAUUUUUGUUCUUCCGGGGACAUCUGGCAAUAUCUAGAGACAUGCUACUGGCACCUAUAGAAAUGCUAGUGACUUAUUAUGGGUAGAGGCUAAAGAUGCUGCUAAAUAUCCUACAAUGCCCAGGACAGCCACUGCCACAACAAAGAAUUAUGCAGUCCACAAUGUCCAUAGUGCUAAGGAGAAGAAACCCUGUCCUAGGGUCAAGGUUGGAUGCUGACAAGACUAAUUUCAAGUGAUUUCAAACGAUUGUGGGGAAAAUACCCAGAAGUUGACAGGAGCAAUAUGUAGAUAUUUCCUUCUGUAAAUUAUAUUUCCCUAAUGCUAAUGCUGGAGCAUUUGGAAACACGUGUAUAAAUAUUUGAAGCACAAAACCAGAGAGAUGCUCUUAUGUAUUUAGCUUCUAGUUUUAAAUAAUAGAUACUACAAUAAACCUUGAUUAAACCUUGAUUAUCUGAUAUGCUCUGGGUUUGUGCUUUUUGUGUGGGUUACAUUUUCUAGUUAAUGAAUGUUUAACCACAAAAUAUUUUUGUUUCAAGCUUUGCUUUGCAAAAAUAUAGCAUUUCUAACUGAGGUGCUUGUAAUGUCCCUGGAUUAUGAAGUAAGUUGAAAACCCUGAAAUUCUAUAUAAAUAAAGGAGGGGAGCGUAUUAUGG
rnacentral:lncRNA from 1 species